AGGGGCAGGCCCUGUUCCUAUUGGUCCCCAGUGAGAGCCUGUCCUUCUCUUUAGAUUUAAGCCACUAAGUUCUUCCUAAACUCAGCAGCUACCAGGAGGACUCAGCAUGUUGGGAGAACUGGUGGGCGCUGCACUAGGAGGAGGAGCCCUUGGACUCUCCACCACAGCCAGUGCCAUCACGGGGGCUGUCGGGGCAGCUGCUGUAGCUGCUGAAACCUUACUCUGAACUUAGGAGAUGACACUUCUCUGAGCUCAGCCCAAAGCCUAUACAGACUACCCAGGAGAUGAAGUUCCAAAAUGCACCUUCUGAACCCUCCCUGAUGUCAAGGAUGGAUGAAAAUAAAGUCUAUGGGCUGGGGUGCCUA